rnacentral:rRNA from 1 species
UGGGGAAUAUUGCACAAUGGGCGCAAGCCUGAUGCAGCCAUGCCGCGUGUAUGAAGAAGGCCUUCGGGUUGUAAAGUACUUUCAGCAGUGAGGAAGGGGUGUACGUUAAUAGCGUGCAUCUUUGACGUUAGCUGCAGAAGAAGCACCGGCUAACUCCGUGCCAGCAGCCGCGGUAAUACGGAGGGUGCGAGCGUUAAUCGGAAUUACUGGGCGUAAAGCGCAUGCAGGUGGUUUGUUAAGUCAGAUGUGAAAGCCCGGGGCUCAACCUCGGAAUUGCAUUUGAAACUGGCAGACUAGAGUACUGUAGAGGGGGGUAGAAUUUCAGGUGUAGCGGUGAAAUGCGUAGAGAU